UACAUGUGGGGCAAGCGUUGUUCGGAAUUACUGGGCAUAAAGGGUGCGUAGGUGGUUUGUUAAGUCAGGGGUGAAAUCCCGCGGCCCAACCGUGGAACUGCCUUUGAUACUGGCGAACUUGAGUGCGUGAGGGGUAGGGGGAACGAGCAGUGUAGCGGUGAAAUGCGUAGAUAUUCGCAAGAACACCAGUGGCGAAGGCGGCUCACUGGCCCGGUACUGACGCUGAGGUGCGAAAGCGUGGGGAGCAAACAGG
rnacentral:rRNA from 1 species